rnacentral:rRNA from 1 species
UACGUAGGGUGCAAGCGUUGUCCGGAAUUAUUGGGCGUAAAGAGCUCGUAGGCGGUCUGUCGCGUCUGCUGUGAAAAUCCAGGGCUUAACCCUGGACCUGCAGUGGGUACGGGCAGACUAGAGUGCGGUAGGGGAGAUCGGAAUUCCUGGUGUAGCGGUGAAAUGCGCAGAUAUCAGGAGGAACACCGGUGGCGAAGGCGGUUCUCUGGGCCUUACCUGACGCUGAGGAGCGAAAGCGUGGGGAGCGAACAGG